GAGUAGCUGGGAUUACAAGCACCCGCCACCAUGCCCGGCUAAUUUUUAUAUUUUUAGCAGAGGCGGGAUUUCUCCAUGUAGCCCAGGCCGGUCUCGAACUCCUGACCUCAAGUGAUCCACCCACCUCAGCCUCCCAAAGUGCUGGGAUUACAGGUGUGAGCCACCAUGCCCCGCCAGCCAUCAGAGUUUUAUAGCAAGAAUUUUUACCUUUGUCCUUAGUGCAAUGGGAAAUCCUUGAAACGCUAUUAUUGCCUUCCUCUGCAAGGAAAGGUUAUUUUGGUGAGCAGUGGAUAGAGGAAAUGCAGAGGGAGCCACUAAAGGGUUCUGGUGAGAUCUGGAGCCCUGCUGGGAUAAUCUGACCAGAGAAAGCAAAGAUUCCAGAGAGCUAGGCACACUUGCCCUACCUCCAGCUGCACACAGCUGGUUCCAGCUUUGUCCUGACCUUCAGUCUGGCAUACAGGGUAGACCCACUGGUACCUGGUACCUCACUCUGGGGGUGAGGUGGCCACCCACCUAGGUCUGGGUCCUGUAGCAGUUUGGCAGCAACAUCUGGGUGAUAAGAGAAGGCGAUUUGACCUACUCCCAGGGACAAGAAGCUUUGACUCUUCAAGAUCAUAAAGUCUUCCCUCCUGGCCUUGGGUCCUCCUGUUGCGGGAGAGAGGACAAAAUCCGUUCCUCACCUGGACACAAUGAACCUGUCUGUGGGAUUUAGGGAGCAUCAAGGAGGGAAUUUAGUUUCCGCAGACUUCAAGGAAGACUUUCUGGAGGAGGUGAUGCCUGAGAGCUAUCCAGGAGAGAAGAGUGAAAAAAUGUUAAGCAGUGGAAAAACAUGAACCAAACUGUGGCUGCAUCUUCCCAUAGGGCAACAGGGACUUAGCGCGUGCAAUCAAGGAUCUCCAGAUGGGGAUAACCCAGGUGUGCCCAACCUAAUCUCAGUGUCCUUGGAAGAGGGAUGCAGAAGGAGUCAGAAUCAGAGAAGAAGGUGACACGAUGAAGGAAUCCGAAAUUAGAGUGAUGCUCUUUGAAGAUGGAGGAAGGGACCACAAGCUGAGAAAUAGAGGUGGCCACUAGACACUGAAAAAGGCAAGGAAGUGGAUUCUCCCCUGGAGCCUCCAGAAGGAACCAGCUCUGCCGACACCUUGACAUUAGCCCAUUGAGACUGAUUUAAGGGCUGCUGGCCUCCAGAAUUGUAAGAGAAUAAACGUGUGUUGUUUAAGGC
rnacentral:lncRNA from 1 species